rnacentral:rRNA from 1 species
GACGAACGCUAGCUACAGGCUUAACACAUGCAAGUCGAGGGGCAGCAUGGUCUUAGCUUGCUAAGGCCGAUGGCGACCGGCGCACGGGUGAGUAAACACGUAUCCAACCUGCCGUCUACUCUUGGACAGCCUUCUGAAAGGAAGAUUAAUACAAGAUGGCAUCAUGAGUCCGCAUGUUCACAUGAUUAAAGGUAUUCCGGUAGACGAUGGGAAUGCGUUCCAUUAGAUAGUAGGCGGGGUAACGGCCCGACCCUAGUCUUCGAUGGAUAGGGGUUCGUGAGAGGAGGGUCCCCCGACCAUU